CCGCCUCCCCGGAGGUCCAGUUCUGGCCGCCGCCCCGGGCCAUUUCGGAGGCCUCGGGCGGCUCGGCUGUGGUGUCGGCGAUAGUGGUAACCCUUUGUCCACGUGAACCUGGUAUGUGACAGCUAUCAAUGACAACAUAUCUCCCUGAUUUAUGAUUGAUAGUUGUGUGACUGUGAUGAUGUGGUCAGCAAUGGAAAAGCUUCUGAAAACUCUAUUUUUUCCCUCCUUUUCCCCCCCAAGGAUAUCCUGAAUAUGAAACCCCUUUUUCCUUUCAGUAGAGAUGAAAGGGGCUGAGGGUGGGGGAAUUGCAGGUGUGGGAUUUGUUACACACACUGUCAGAUGCCAUUACUCUGUAAGUUAUCUUUGCUUAAAUGUUUUUCUUUGUUUCAAGGAAAGAUUUGAUAGCAAGGUCUCAGUGGGGAAUUUUAAGGGGAAAGAGUAUCAUAGAAACAAAAGGUAACAAUAAAAUCUUUUCUUGAAAGGAUGUCCUUAAUAUAUGGAUUGGGUUAUUGACCAUUCUCAUCAAGAUUUCAUUGAGAUGAGAAAACUGGUAUAUUGAUGGGUCCUUACUGAUGC